GAUGAACGCUGGCGGCGUGCCUAAUACAUGCAAGUCGAGCGAACGGACGAGAAGCUUGCUUCUCUGAUGUUAGCGGCGGACGGGUGAGUAACACGUGGAUAACCUACCUAUAAGACUGGGAUAACUUCGGGAAACCGGAGCUAAUACCGGAUAAUAUUUUGAACCGCAUGGUUCAAAAGUGAAAGACGGUCUUGCUGUCACUUAUAGAUGGAUCCGCGCUGCAUUAGCUAGUUGGUAAGGUAACGGCUUACCAAGGCAACGAUGCAUAGCCGACCUGAGAGGGUGGUCGGCCAGACUGGCAGUGAGACACGGUCCAGACUCCUACGGGAGGCAGCAGUAGGGAAUCUUCCGCAAUGGGCGAAAGCCGAACGGAGCAACGCCGCGGGAGUGAUGAAGGUCUUCGGAUCGGAAAACUCUGUUAUUAGGGGAGAACAUAUGUGUAAGUAACUGUGCACAUCUUGACGGUACCUAAUCAGAAAGCCACGGCUAACUACGUG
rnacentral:rRNA from 1 species